rnacentral:Y_RNA from 1 species
GGCUGGUCUAAAGGUAAUGAGUUAUCUCACUUGAUUGUCCACAGUCAGUUACUGAUGGAACUCCUGUUCUAGUCUUUCCCCCUUCUCACUACUGCACCUGACUAGUCUAAA